AACGAACGCUGGCGGCAGGCUUAACAUAUGCAAGUCGGACGCAUCCUUCGGGGCGAGUGGCAGACGGGUGAGUAACGCGUGGCAACGUGCCCUUCAGUGCGGGAUAACCCAGGGAAACUUGGGCUAAUACCGGAUACGUGCGAGAGCAGAAAGAUUUAUCGCUGAAGGAUCGGCCCGCGUCUGAUUAGCUAGUUGGUGGGGUAAAGGCCAACCAAGGCGACGAUCAGUAGCUGGUCUGAGAGGAUGAUCAGCCACAUUGGGACUGAGACACGGCCCAAACUCCUACGGGAGGCAGCAGUGGGGAAUAUUGGACAAUGGGCGCAAGCCUGAUCCAGCCAUGCCGCGUGAGUGAUGAAGGCCUUAGGGUUGUAAAGCUCUUUCGUCCGGGACGAUAAUGACGGUACCGGAAGAAGAAGCCCCGGCUAACUUCGUGCCAGCCGCCGCGGUAAUAC
rnacentral:rRNA from 1 species